CCACACAUAAAAUGAGGGGGAAACUUCCAGCAUAAAUUGAUCCAUAGAUAAUGUAGAAGAGGAAUGACAGUGAUGAGCAAGAGUCUGACAAUCUAAUUAUGUGCUACUGAAAGAGAUUAAGAAAAAUGUAUUGGAUGCCAAGAUAAGGAGAGAAAUGUAGAAAGGAUCAAACCACUUAAGAAAAUGGCAACAUGAUAAGAAGAAAGGUCAUCAUGUCUGCAAAGAAGAGCAAAGUGGAUCUCGAGUGUCAUGUCCUCAAUCCUGAGUGGAGGGAGAAGUAUUUCUUCAUCAAGCAUUUUGGAAAGGUUCAAUGCCUCGUCUGUCUCAAGUCUGUAGCCAUCUUCAAAGAGUUCAACAAGUGCUGCCACUGGGACAUAGAGCACUGAACAUUGAACUACACAUCAGUAUCUGCUGUCGAGAGGAGGGAUUUACCUGCUGUUAUGCAGAGGUCAGAUCACUGGCUGUGGAAUUCAAGCUGUUCACCGCCCUCUUUGAAUUCCCAGUGGAUGACACCCCUACCCAGUUGCAGAUGGAAUUGGUUGAGCUGCAAUGGUAUGAUG